GGCUUGGUGGUGUAUUGGUAACACGUCUUUCCUUGCUGCUCUAUGGUCACCCUCAUUUGGAAGAAGUAUCCUGUUCGAUCUGGGACCAGGCCA